GGUUGUACUAGCUGUGAAAGUCAGAGGCCACCAGGCAGCUAUCGUGAGACCAAAGGCAGUAGUCAGCUCAGGCAAGCCGGUUUCCUUAUUUAUGUCAAAUUCCUCAGUCUUGGGUCUCCUUAUCUUUUAAAUAAGGAGUUAGAAUAGAAUUUGAGGGCUGUUCACUCAGGCAUCCAUGGUGGCUGCAGCAUAAGGAGUGUGUGGUGUCAGGAUGGGAAGGGCAACAUGGAGACUGCAUGGCCAUUGACGUCUGAAAGUCUCUGGUUGCCAAAAAGAAUCUAUCUACAACAGCAUUCAUCCUGACAGCAGCCAACAGGCAGCCUAGACCUGGCAUGCCACAGCUCCUCUAGGCUCUGAACCCCUCUCAGCUGAGCCUGGUAGAUGCCAGCUGACCGGCUGCAGCCCCUGAGUAGAGGUUGGCUGUCCUAGCAAUAGAGUAGGGCGGGGGCACAGCAGACAUGGGACCAUCAUCUGGAUUCCUAGACGUGCAACUGCAAGUUUGGGAUGUGAUGGAGAACGAGCUGCACAAGUCUCUGGGCUCCUGUAAAAGAUUGGUUGCAGAAAUGUCCUCAGAGUUGUUGGGAGGAUUCAAUAGAAGAUGCAUGCAAAGCACCUGGCUGAAUGCCCAGAGCCCUGCAGACACUCAGGAAUGAGUAACCAUGCAGAUUUUCUACGCCUUUAGACCAGAUAUUCUAAGAAACUUCCUGCUAUAGAUUAACUAGAUCCUGAUUGUGUUUUUCAUUUCCAGGCUUAGAAGAAAUAAAGGAAAUAUCCCAGGAGCAAAAACAAAACACACACAUGCUCCUCUCAAGAGUCACUGGCAUCCCAGCUGAAAAGUCAGCUCUACACCUAUGGGACCUAUGGGCCUGUUUCUGAGCUCUGUUUUGUCUCUUUGGUCUGAGUGUCUAUCUGAGGCCAAUACCACAGUACCAAAUGCGAUUGCUUUAGAGGAAGUCUUGAAAUCAGAUGAGCCGACUAGGAUUCCUGGCACCAUCGUGAACGGCUCUGGUGGGCACAGGCAGCCCUCUGCUGCUUCUGAUCUUAGGCUGAAGGCUGUUGAAUUAUGAGAAAGCGUCAUUUGAAGAGAUGGAUGCCUGUGACCCCGCCAGGCUCUGCAGACCUGGAGGCGGCUCCAGAUCUGGGGUGUGCGGCGCAUUGUGUGUCCAACAGGGAGCAUAACUUUCGCAUCUCAGUCCUUCUCCAUUUCCUGAGGCUUCUUCAGGCUCUGGUGUGUGGUCCACCCUGGAGAAUGUCUCGCUCUCCUCUCGAGAGGAACGUGGCUGCGGCUCUGCGUGGACCGUUUGGCAGAGGCUCAUAUGCUGGAUCCACUGGUUGGUUCACGGGGUUCAUUCCUGUCUGUUGAUCUUCUACCUAGUGGCUCCAUCACUCAUUCAAGGUAGGACCAGUGAAGUCACCAACGUUCACUGUCAGAUUGUCUAUUUCUCCCUUUAGUUCUGUCGUUUUUUACGUUGUGUAUUUUGGGGCUCUGGUGUUAGGCGAUGUGUGUCCAUAUAUUUCUCCCUUUAAUUCUGUCCGUUUUUACUUUGCAUAUUUUGGGCUCUGGUGUUGGGUGAUAUGUGUCCAUAUUUGUUACGUCUUGGGAGAGAUUGACCUUUUUGUUUUUAUAAAAUGUCCUUUUGGUGUCUCAAACAACGACUUUUGGCUUAAAGUCUAUUUUGUCUGCAUUCAGCCACCCGAUGUCCCUUUUGAUUAUUGUUUACACGGUUCGUCUUUUUCCACCUUUCCCCGUUGGACUCUGACGCGUCUCUGCUGUGGGAAGCGCAUCGCCGCCCCGGCGUCUCUCUCCGCUGCGGGGAGCCCAUCGCGG
rnacentral:lncRNA from 1 species